GCGAUUACUAGCGAAUCCAGCUUCACGAAGUCGAGUUGCAGACUUCGAUCCGAACUGAGAAUGGUUUUCGGGAUUAGCAUCUUGUCGCCAAGUAGCUGCCUGUUGUACCAUCCAUUGUAACACGUGUGUCGCCCCGGACAUAAGGGCCGUGCUGAUUUGACGUCAUCCCCACCUUCCUCGCAUCUUACGAUGGCAGUCUCACUAGAGUCCUCAGCUUGACCUGUUAGUAACUAAUGAUGAGGGUUGCGCUCGUUAUGGCACUUAAGCCGACACCUCACGGCACGAGCUGACGACAACCAUGCAGCACCUACACUAUUGCCCCGAAGGGAAGGCUCGUCUCUGAGCCGGUCAAUAGCAUUUCAAGCCCGGGUAAGGUUCCUCGCGUAUCAUCGAAUUAAACCACAUGUUCCUCCGCUUGUGCGGGCCCCCGUCAAUUCCUUUGAGUUUCAUUCUUGCGAACGUACUCCCCAGGUGGAUUACUUAACGCUUUCGCUAAGCCGCUUACUGUGUAUCGC
rnacentral:rRNA from 1 species